UCUCCAGGUUAUGAUUGCUCCGCUCCAUCCGGCAGGACCGCCCCACUUUAUCAACCAGCCACAAUCAGAUCGUCGUCAUGGCAACGAGGCCAAGCAUCCCGGCGGCACAAAGCCCACUGAGUGCUCGUCUGCCGCCUCGGCCGGCUCUCUCAGCGGGCCCUCCGCGCGCCCAGACAAUGGAGGAGCCCCCCGCGGGAGCCGGACCCGUCUGUUCAGCCAGGCUGAAGCCCUGCCCGCCUCGUGGGUGACUUUGCCGCCCCCCGAAAGAGAAAAAGGCAGCAGGCGCCUGGCAGACGCUCGUGCCAGGGCACAGGAGGGCGGCCAGCGGGGCCGGGGAUCGGGAGGGCGAAAAAACCUGGUGGAGACCACGGAGGAGCCCCCCAAAGGCUCACAUGAAGGGAGGGCCUGUGGGCACAUUUACAAGGAACACAGACGUGUCAGCGUGAACCUUCCCACUGCCAGGCUCUCCCACCCUCAUUAUCGGCGCUGGUGCUUUUCUGUAGAGAUCCAUUAGAGGCUGUUUCCUUUGCACCGGGGACAGGGGGACGAGAUGAGCGAGGGGAGACGCGAUGAACCCCACGGCCGCCCGAAGGGGUCCUGAAACCCAUUAGCUGAGACAGUCCGCGGCCCACAAGGCCGUCUCGCACGUCCCCAGUUGGAAGAGCUUCUUUGAUCUUCUCUCCCUGACAACACUUCACUAAGGAAGAGAGAGUGCACGAAUAACACUCAAAAUGCUGGGGCGCUUAUCAAACUCCAAGACGCUGCUUUCCAGAAGGAGCAAAAAGAAUUUAAUUAACUCUCCUCUCUCCUGUGGGUUGAUAGCCUCAUAGAAUAGACACUGUGCCCAGGAGAGUGAGAACAAAACUGUAGAAUUGAUCAUCAUUACUAGUACUACUACUCCCUUCAUAGCACUUCUGACAAGGCCAAGUGUCCAAACAGAUCGCCAAGAUGAAACCCUAAGUGAAAAUUAAGUCACUGGACCACCCAGCCUCAUCUGGAAGAGAUAAGGAAACUGAGGCCAGCAUGAGGGGAAUUUGCCCAAUACCACGGGGUUAAUAAACUACAGAUGUGGACUUCAACCUUUAUUCCUCUGACUGCCCCCCUUUAAGGAUAAAUGUUAUAGA